rnacentral:rRNA from 1 species
AGGGUGUAAACGCUGCGGGCUUGGUGUUGGGGUCCUUUGAGGGCGCCCAGUGCCGGAGAGAAGUUGUUAAGCCUGCUGCUUGGGAGUACGUCCGCAAGGAUGAAACUUAAAGGAAUUGGCGGGGGAGCACCGCAACGGGAGGAGCGUGCGGUUCAAUUGGAUUCAACGCCGGACAACUCACCGGAUAGGACAGACAUAUGAUAGUCGGGCUGAAGACUCUACUUGAUGAUCUGAGAGGAGGUGCAUGGCGUCAGUGACU